rnacentral:rRNA from 1 species
AAACUGGGGAACUUGAGUGCAGAAGAGGAGAGCGGAAUUCCACGUGUAGCGGUGAAAUGCGUAGAGAUGUGGAGGAACACCAGUGGCGAAGGCGGCUCUCUGGUCUGUAACUGACGCUGAGGCGCGAAAGCGUGGGGAGCGAACAGGAUUAGAUACCCUGGUAGUCCACGCCGUAAACGAUGAGUGCUAAGUGUUAGAGGGUUUCCGCCCUUUAGUGCUGCAGCAAACGCAUUAAGCACUCCGCCUGGGGAGUACGGCCGCAAGGCUGAAACUCAAAGGAAUUGACGGGGGCCCGCACAAGCGGUGGAGCAUGUGGUUUAAUUCGAAGCAACGCGAAGAACCUUACCAGGUCUUGACAUCCUCUGACAACCCUAGAGAUAGGGGCGUUCCCCUUCGGGGACAAGAGUGACAGGGUGGUGCAUGGGUUUGUCGUCAGCUUCGUGGUCGUGAAGAUGUUUGGGUUUAAGUUCCCGCAACGAGCGCAACCUUUGAUCUUUAAGUUGCCAGCAUUUCAGUGGGCACUCU